rnacentral:rRNA from 1 species
UACGUAGGGGGCAAGCGUUAUCCGGAUUUACUGGGUGUAAAGGGAGCGUAGACGGCUUUGCAAGCCAGAUGUGAAAGCCCGGGGCUCAACCCCGGGACUGCAUUUGGAACUGUGUGGCUAGAGUGUCGGAGAGGCAGGCGGAAUUCCUGGUGUAGCGGUGAAAUGCGUAGAUAUUAGGAGGAACACCAGUGGCGAAGGCGGCCUGCUGGACGAUGACUGACGUUGAGGCUCGAAAGCGUGGGGAGCAAACAGG